CCUUGGAACUAAGCAUAUCAAUAAGCGGAGGAAAAGAAACUAACAAGGAUUCCCCUAGUAACUGCGAGUGAAGCGGGAAAAGCUCAAAUUUAAAAUCUGGUGGUCUUUGGCCAUCCGAGUUGUAAUUUAGAGAAGCGUCUUCCGCGCUGGGCCGUGCACAAGUCUCCUGGAACGGAGCGUCAUAGAGGGUGAGAAUCCCGUCUUUGGCACGGACAUGCCAGGGCUUUUGUGAUGCGCUCUCGAAGAGUCGAGUUGUUUGGGAAUGCAGCUCAAAAUGGGUGGUGAACUCCAUCUAAAGCUAAAUAUUGGCGAGAGACCGAUAGCGAACAAGUACCGUGAGGGAAAGAUGAAAAGCACUUUGGAAAGAGAGUGAAACAGUACGUGAAAUUGUUGAAAGGGAAACGCUUGAAGUCAGUCGCGUCGACCGAGACUCAGCCUUGCCUUGGCUUGGUGUACUUCUCGGCUGACGGGUCAGCAUCAAUUUUGCCCCUUGGAUAAUGGCGAGGGAAAUGUGACACCUUUACGGUGUGUUAUAGUCUCUUGUCGCAUGCAAGGGUUGGGAUUGAGGAACUCAGCACGCGCCUUUGGGUGUCGGGGUUUUUGCCCACGAUACGUGCUUAGGAUGUUGGCGUAAUGGCUUUAAACGACCCGUCUUGAAACACGGACCAAGGAGUCUAACAUGCCUGCGAGUGUUCGGGUGGAAAACCCGUGCGCGCAAUGAAAGUGAAAGUUGGGACCUCUGUCGUGGAGGGCACCGACGCCCGGACCAGACCUUUUGUGACGGCUCUGCGGUAAAGCAUGUAUGUUAGGACCCGAAAGAUGGUGAACUAUGCCUGAAUAGGGUGAAGCCAGAGGAAACUCUGGUGGAGGCUCGUAGCGAUUCUGACGUGCAAAUCGAUCGUCAAAUUUGGGUAUAGGGGCGAAAGACUAAUCGAACCAUCUAGUAGCUGGUUCCUGCCGAAUUCCCCCUCCAGAAA
rnacentral:rRNA from 1 species